rnacentral:rRNA from 1 species
AGCUCCAAUAGCGUAUAUUAACGUUGCUGCAGUUAAAAAGCUCGUAGUUGGAUCUCGGGGUACCUGGUCUAGCCGGUAUAGCUCACGCUAAAACUGGUCUGACCCCCCAACGUGAGGUAUUCGUCUCCGGGUGCACUUCAUUGGGUGCUCGUGAGGGGCCUCGUAGUUACUGUGAAAAAAUUAGAGUGUUCAAAGCAGGCUCAUAUGUUCGGAUAGUCGUGCAUGGAAUAACUGUUUACGUGACUGGCGCCUGUCAGUUGGUCUCUUCGACUGGUCAAAUGAUUAAGAUUGACUGCCCGGGGCAUUGGUAUGGCGGGGUUAGAGGUGAAAUUCUUGGAUCCUCGCCAGACCAGCAAAAGCGACAGCAUUUGCCAAGAAUGUCAUCA